rnacentral:rRNA from 1 species
UACGGAGGGUGCAAGCGUUAAUCGGAAUUACUGGGCGUAAAGCGCACGCAGGUGGCUGAGUCAGUCGAUUGUGAAAGCCCUGGGCUUAACCUGGGAAUUGCAGUCGAUACUACUCAGCUAGAGUAUGGGAGAGGGCAGUGGAAUUCUCGGUGUAGCGGUGAAAUGCGUAGAUAUCGAGAGGAACACCUGCGGCGAAGGCGGGUUGCUGGGCUGACACUGACGCUGAAAGCGCGAAAGCUAGGGGAGCGAACGGG